UACGAAGGGGGCUAGCGUUGCUCGGAAUUACUGGGCGUAAAGCGCACGUAGGCGGCUUUCUAAGUCGGGGGUGAAAUCCUGGAGCUCAACUCCAGAACUGCCUUCGAUACUGGAGAGCUUGAGUCCGGGAGAGGUGAGUGGAACUGCGAGUGUAGAGGUGAAAUUCGUAGAUAUUCGCAAGAACACCGGUGGCGAAGGCGGUUCUCUGGGCAUUACCUGACGCUGAGGAGCGAAAGCGUGGGGAGCGAACAGG
rnacentral:rRNA from 1 species